UCUCCGUUGGUGAACCAGCGGGGGGAUCAUUAUCGAGUUUAUAACUCCCAAACCCUAUGUGAACUUACCACUUGUUGCUUCGGCGCGCGCUUCGGUGCCGCCGAGGACACUUAAACUCUUUGUUUUUAUAAGCAUUUCUGAGUGGCCGAAAGGCAAAAUACAAAUGAAUCAAAACUUUCAACGACGGAUCUCUUGGUUCUG
rnacentral:misc_RNA from 1 species